GGGAGAGGGAACCUGGUCCAGCUGAGCCUCUCAGGACUAAGAGGGAUGACAACUUCUAACAUCGAAGCAUAAUAAUGUCAAGGACUUCCUGUCUCCUGCAUUUAGUGUGAUUACAUCAAGGUUCUGCCAUUUAGAAUAUCUACUACUGUACUUGAGUGGCGGGACCCCAUCUGGUGCAGACCUGGAUAACCCUCGCCUGCUGCCACUAUCUCUCUGCCCUAUUACUCUAUAUAAGACUUCAAGUAAUAUUGAGUAAAAACAGAGAGAGUGGACAGCCUUGUCUUGUUCCUGAUUUUAGAGGAAACGCUUGGAGUUUCUCCCCAUCAGGUUAUAGUCCAUCAUUACCAGAGAAGUCACAACAGCAUGGGCUAACAAUGGUCACGUCACAUCUACAGUCAAGAAGCGGAAAUGGAUGACCUAAUGUUCGUGUGCUUAUGCCUCAGCUCACUUUGUCCCCUGACAUAGUCUACCCAGCCCAUGUUUCCUUACCAUAACUACAAUAAUCAAGAUAAUUCUCCAGCGGCUAACCUGAUCUAGACAGUUCCUCAUGAAGACUCUCUGGCCAGGUGAUCCUAGACUAUGUCAGAAUGACAAUUAAAGUUGGCCAUCAUGGCCCCAAUCAA